rnacentral:rRNA from 1 species
GAUGAACGCUGGCGGCGUGCCUAAUACAUGCAAGUCGAGCGAACAGACGAGGAGCUUGCUCCUUUGACGUAGCGGCGGACGGGUGAGUAACACGUGGGUAACCUACCUAUAAGACUGGGAUAACUUCGGGAAACCGGAGCUAAUACCGGAUAAUAUUUCGAACCGCAUGGUUCGAUAGUGAAAGAUGGCUCUGCUAUCACUUAUAGAUGGACCUGCGCCGUAUUAGCUAGUUGGUAAGGUAACGGCUUACCAAGGCAACGAUACGUAGCCGACCUGAGAGGGUGAUCGGCCACACUGGAACUGAGACACGGUCCAGACUCCUACGGGAGGCAGCAGUAGGGAAUCUUCCGCAAUGGGCGAAAGCCUGACGGAGCAACGCCGCGUGAGUGAUGAAGGUCUUCGGAUCGUAAAACUCUGUUAUUAGGGAAGAACAAACGUGUAAGUAACUGUGCACGUCUUGACGGUACCUAAUCAGAAAGCCACGGCUAACUACGUGCCAGCAGCCGCGGUAAUACGUAGGUGGCAAGCGUUAUCCGGAAUUAUUGGGCGUAAAGCGCGCGUAGGCGGUUUUUUAAGUCUGAUGUGAAAGCCCACGGCUCAACCGUGGAGGGUCAUUGGAAACUGGAAAACUUGAGUGCAGAAGAGGAAAGUGGAAUUCCAUGUGUAGCGGUGAAAUGCGCAGAGAUAUGGAGGAACACCAGUGGCGAAGGCGACUUUCUGGUCUGUAACUGACGCUGAUGUGCGAAAGCGUGGGGAUCAAACAGG